CCAAAUAUGUGUGGCAGCUCUGGGACGUCAUCCAGGGCAACACCCAGGAGACCAUCCAGCCCAACCCACCCUCCUCAGGGUUCAUAGGACAAUGACCCAACUCACCUCCAGGCUGUGUAAGGGCUAUUUGACCAAGAAGGAGAGUGAUGGAGUGCUGCAUCAGAUGACCUGUCCUCCACAAUCACCUGACCUCAACCCAAUUGGGAUGAAUUGGACCACAGAGUGAAGAAAACGCAGCCAACAAGAGCUCAGCAUAUGUGGGAAUUCCUUCAAGAUGGUUGAAAAAGCAUUCCAGGUGACUACCCCAUGAUGCUGGUUGAGAGAAUACUGACAGUGUGCAAAGCUGUCAUUAAGGCAAAGGGUGGCUACUUUGAUGACUCCUAAAUAUAUAUUUAGAUUUGUUUAACACUUGUUUUGGUUACUACAUGAUUGCAUGUGUUAUUUUGUAGUUUUGAUGUUUUCAGUAUUAUUCUACAAUGUAGAAAAUGGUUAUUAUAAAGAAAAACCCUUGAAUGAGUAUGUGUCCAAACUUUUGACUGGUACUGUAUAACUUAAUGUGUUUUGCUGUUGUGAAGUGUUGUUUUUCUAGAGCUCUGGUUGCUCUUCUUCCUUAAAAUGACUUAAAGGACAGUCCACAGUUUUUUAAUGGUGGGCGUUUUUUUUUUUAAAUGGCUCUCAUGGAGUGGUAAAUUAAUCUUUGAGAAAAUGAGCAGUAGUCUGCACUAAAUGUCUGAAAACACGUCCAUACCAAACACACACUUCUGAACAUGUACAAACUCGGCAUACACCAGCCACUCUAUCCUGACAACCCUUAACAAAAACUUGAACUUUAAUUCAAAAUGUACCACUUCAAUGACAAUACAGGACACAUGCUCAUACAUAUAGGUACAUAUAUCUCAAUACAGACAUGCUGGAACUACACCAAACACUCAUCACCUCAGUAUUACCUAAUCAAGAUGGUACAUUGUGUUUUUUUAUCUACAACAGUCACACAGUUUUCUGUGUUCAACAUUCCUUAAAUGUCCUCUAGUCUUAUUUCAAAGUCUUAUUUGUUGGUGUUGUUGUCAUCAGGGUUUUGAUUGCUGUUGAUGCUACUGCUGCGCUUUAUGCCCAAUCACGCUUUGCUCUUCUUUUCUCAUCUCUUGCCGGACCACUUGCCAACUCGUAAAGAGAUCGUCAUACUCCCACUUAGCUCUUUAAGACUGUCUGACUGGUUGCCACUUCAAGGGCAUGCACAGUUCUGUAUUUGGCAGAUAAUUAGGUACCAAACCCUGGAAAACCCUUUGGUUGCCCGUUCUUUGGCCUAAUCUAAUACAAUGAUGUCCUUUUUAAGAUUUGUGAACACCAAAGGAUGCAGGGCUAGGCUAGCGGAUUGGAGUUAUGGGGUAAGAGAGGACUCGCAAAGCAUUCUUACAGCAGCUGUAACCUUGUGCCUAGUAGCCAACCGAACACUGGGUUGCCUUUCAAAACACCCAAAGACUGAUCUUACACAUACUGUAUGCUAUCCAUGUAACUGCAGUGUCAUUGUUGUGGUUUUUAUUGCUGAUUUAAUUGUUUAACAGUUAUGAUUUAAAGAAAGCUGUUAGUCACCUCAGUGUUGCUCAAACCGUCCAGUGUUCUGUUAGUGGCGGGCUGGGGUAGGUCACUAGUCAAACUCCCUUACUUUCCAGUGUCCACCCCAUGCCAAAAGGGAAUUGAACCAACACCCUCUCUCUGACGUCUCUUUAAAAGCAGCUGUAAUUACUAUGAUGAUUGACCUGCCUCUUUAAAUGAAUGUAAUCACACCACACCUACCACCUCUUCCUAGGACAGUUAUAUCUACGAGCACACUACAGAUGUAGGAUCUUAAUUUGAGCCAGUUGCUACAGCAGGAAAAUAAUCCUGCACAACGGGAAAUGUGAAUUUAUUAUGUGGAUUAUAAUAAAUAUACUUUUUUUGUAGGGGUUGAAAUUUCAAAGUGAAAACUACAAACUUCAGAAGCUUUUUUUAAACCUCAAAUACACUACAAGUUUUAAAUGUCCUGCAUUUCAGGACAGUUCUCCUUCAACAGGGUGAUCAAAUUAAGAUCCUACAUCUGUACACAUAAUAUGUGCCAUAGAUAGUCAAGGGAUUCAGCCCGCAGGGUUCAGUAGCUGGACUGCCUCCCAGGCACGUCACGCUGAUAUGGUUAGUGGCAUUCAGCAGAGCAUGGUCUAGUAACUUAAGCCUACCAUUCCCUAUGUCUUUACCGUUCUCAUUUUGACUGAAUCCUCCAAUAUUGUUCUGAAAGUACUCUUUUACCUGGGCUUGCAGCAGGCUGCCACUAUGCGCUGCCGGAGACCUUUUUCUUAUUAUGGCAGGGAUUUGAAGCAGUAAUAUCUCCAGACUCAUUCUUUGUCCGGCUUUAAUGUCUUCCUUGUUUACACUGACUCUGUGCCAGACCUGCCUGCAGUGCGUUUCAGCUAGCUAUCGUGUGUGUGUGGGAGAGGAGGAUCACUCAUAGAGAUCCUAUAGAUCAUCAUAUAUUGCUCUAUAUUCUAUGGGAUCACUAUCUGGCCAUGCUAGAACGGACAGCGGAGGCUGUUCUUUCCAAACACAAAUCCGCGUACAACUACUAAGCUUCACCUUUAUCCCAAGCUGAGCCUCCUAUAAGACCAACCAGAUCAUGCACUUGUUUUCAAUCAGAUCUGCCAUUAUGGCCCCUGUAGUCCUUUCUGUAAUGGCCAGAUGGUGACCAUUACCUGGGUAGGGACAACUGGGAGGGGUUGACAUUGGCAGCCAUAGUGACAUAAUUCAAAGAAGAGAUUUGUGUGUGCGUGUUUUGUUUGUUUGUUUUGCGUUGUGAUAUUCAGGAAAGUGUUGCUGUGCCCUUGUUACAGGAAAAGUGCUUAACCAGGGUUGAGGAAACAAAUUGACCCGGUCGUAAACAUGGCAGUCAAACGCUGCUUGGAAUAAAGAGGCAUCUGCUGAAGAGAUUGUUGUUGUAAUCAAGUGAUGAGUGAAGAGAGACUGAACAGGAAUACCAUUUAGAGUUGGAACCCUUUUAAAUAGGAUUUAGCUACCUAGGAUCAAUGACAUAGUGUUAAUAACAGUGCAAACCCUUCCCAACUGGUGUGACAGACCAUUAGCUUGGGGAGCCAACACAAUUCUUUUAGGUUUUAGGCAAGUUUACUCAGCACACAAGCAUGGUUCGGAAUAACUGUUACACCGGCACGCCAGGCAAGCAAAAUAUUUUGAGCCACAUCUGCUAUCUCAUUAACCCAUGGCUUGAAGGAGCCAGACACACCGCUGCGUCAAAUGAUUUCCCAAGGCCCACCUCUCACUGAGAGAUCUAACAAAGGGAAACAGAGGGGGGCUUUGAUGAAACUGUCUGGAAUGGUCUCGACUCCCACGAUUGUCAUAAGUAUCGUCUCUGAUUCAUGUCCAUGCAUCAUUAUUGAAGUGUUUAAAUCAUUCAAUGUAAUUGUUACGUUUGUGAUUAACACAUUGACAGUGUAAAAAAAAAAAAAGAUAUAAUAACUUUGUUUAUAUUCCAAUGCACAGAGCAUGCAAAUCUAUCCGGAGCAAGGAUAAGAGUCUUAAACUGUCCAUGUAUGUGUACUUGUCUGGAUCCCAAUUAGCGUUUGCAGAAGCAGCAGCUACUCUUCCUGGGGUCCACAAAACAUGACAAGUAACAAAACACUGAUAGACAAGGACAGUCACACAUUUUAAUUACAACGGUGAUACACAAACAGUACAACAAAAAGAAUACAAACAAUACAACUAAAAAGUUGGCUGUACUGUGCUUUACUCUGUACUUUCCUGUACAAAAAAAAAGCAUUAGAGCUCCAAGACACGUAAAAAAGACCAUGCUGGAAAAAUAUACGAUUUUUCUACCUGCGUUGUGCAAGUGUAUAUUGUGUGCGUAGGGAAAUUUUAUCCAGCUGGAAACGAGAGCAGCAAUUAUUAGUUCCGUAGAAGCACUUCUUGAUCAAAUGCAAUGCCUUCGGCAACAGCAUUGAAAUGUUGAUACUGUGCCAAAUGUAAUUUGUGCUGGUGUGUGUCGGUUAGUGGGUGGAUAUGUUUCUUAUAGCAGGUAUUUUUAAGGUGCUAUAUGUUCCCUUCAUGGGGGUGUUAUAGGAUAAAGAUGACCAACGUAUCUGUAUGGACCAUAGAGAAUGAUAGAGGACGCUUCUUUGUAUCUAUGCCAUUAUGGUGUCUGAUCACACGGGCGGCGUCAUUGAGGCCAUAUCAAUUUGAGUUUGUAUACAAACUGUAAGGGUGCAAACUGCCACCUAGAGUGUGUUGUUUGAACAGAUAUAAAGCCAAGGUUGGCGAUUUUACAUCCACCUGCAGUUAUGGAAUGUUUGCUCACAAGAUAGUUAAUUGGCUGAUGACCUGGAUGGAAUUAUGUGAUCUUCCUUAACCCAUAGGAAGUACCACCCAGUUGACUACAAAAUGAGGGCAUUUUUCAAUGGUGCUGCCCAUGCUAAAAUAGGCUUUUGGGAACUAGAGUCCUCUUAUCAUUCUCUGUGGUAAGGAUGGACACGCCAGGUGCAUUGUGUUCAGCACAGAAAUAACAGAGAAAAUAGUUAGUUUUGGAGAUCAUUGCUUAACUUGAUCCCUCCACAGUCGCUCUGUACUCUCUUCUUCUGUCGCAAUUUGUUUUAGAACUACGUUUUUCCUUUUGAUUUGUCAUUGCCGGUUUCUUUAUUAAAUUUGAAUAGGUAUUUAAGUUGACUGUUUGUAUACAAUUAAAUUGUUGUUAAUUUAUUGUUCUAUUUUUACCAUGUAAAUAAAAGCAUUAUAUGUGUACAA